AUUGAACGCUGGCGGCAGGCCUAACACAUGCAAGUCGAACGGUAACAGAAAGCAGCUUGCUGCUUUGCUGACGAGUGGCGGACGGGUGAGUAAUGUCUGGGAAACUGCCUGAUGGAGGGGGAUAACUACUGGAAACGGUAGCUAAUACCGCAUAACGUCGCAAGACCAAAGAGGGGGACCUUCGGGCCUCUUGCCAUCGGAUGUGCCCAGAUGGGAUUAGCUAGUAGGUGGGGUAAAGGCUCACCUAGGCGACGAUCCCUAGCUGGUCUGAGAGGAUAACCAGCCACACUGGAACUGAGACACGGUCCAGACUCCUACGGGAGGCAGCAGUGGGGAAUAUUGCACAAUGGGCGCAAGCCUGAUGCAGCCAUGCCGCGUGUAUGAAGAAGGCCUUCGGGUUGUAAAGUACUUUCAGCGGGGAGGAAGGGAGUAAAGUUAAUACCUUUGCUCAUUGACGUUACCCGCAGAAGAAGCACCGGCUAACUCCGUG
rnacentral:rRNA from 1 species